rnacentral:rRNA from 2 species
AGAGUUUGAUCAUGGCUCAGAUUGAACGCUGGCGGCAGGCCUAACACAUGCAAGUCGAGCGGUAGCACAGAGAGCUUGCUCUCGGGUGACGAGCGGCGGACGGGUGAGUAAUGUCUGGGAAACUGCCUGAUGGAGGGGGAUAACUACUGGAAACGGUAGCUAAUACCGCAUAAUGUCGCAAGACCAAAGUGGGGGACCUUCGGGCCUCAUGCCAUCAGAUGUGCCCAGAUGGGAUUAGCUAGUAGGUGGGGUAAUGGCUCACCUAGGCGACGAUCCCUAGCUGGUCUGAGAGGAUGACCAGCCACACUGGAACUGAGACACGGUCCAGACUCCUACGGGAGGCAGCAGUGGGGAAUAUUGCACAAUGGGCGCAAGCCUGAUGCAGCCAUGCCGCGUGUGUGAAGAAGGCCUUCGGGUUGUAAAGCACUUUCAGCGGGGAGGAAGGCGGUGAGGUUAAUAACCUCAUCGAUUGACGUUACCCGCAGAAGAAGCACCGGCUAACUCCGUGCCAGCAGCCGCGGUAAUACGGAGGGUGCAAGCGUUAAUCGGAAUUACUGGGCGUAAAGCGCACGCAGGCGGUCUGUCAAGUCGGAUGUGAAAUCCCCGGGCUCAACCUGGGAACUGCAUUCGAAACUGGCAGGCUAGAGUCUUGUAGAGGGGGGUAGAAUUCCAGGUGUAGCGGUGAAAUGCGUAGAGAUCUGGAGGAAUACCGGUGGCGAAGGCGGCCCCCUGGACAAAGACUGACGCUCAGGUGCGAAAGCGUGGGGAGCAAACAGGAUUAGAUACCCUGGUAGUCCACGCCGUAAACGAUGUCGAUUUGGAGGUUGUGCCCUUGAGGCGUGGCUUCCGGAGCUAACGCGUUAAAUCGACCGCCUGGGGAGUACGGCCGCAAGGUUAAAACUCAAAUGAAUUGACGGGGGCCCGCACAAGCGGUGGAGCAUGUGGUUUAAUUCGAUGCAACGCGAAGAACCUUACCUGGUCUUGACAUCCACAGAACUUUCCAGAGAUGGAUUGGUGCCUUCGGGAACUGUGAGACAGGUGCUGCAUGGCUGUCGUCAGCUCGUGUUGUGAAAUGUUGGGUUAAGUCCCGCAACGAGCGCAACCCUUAUCCUUUGUUGCCAGCGGUUCGGCCGGGAACUCAAAGGAGACUGCCAGUGAUAAACUGGAGGAAGGUGGGGAUGACGUCAAGUCAUCAUGGCCCUUACGACCAGGGCUACACACGUGCUACAAUGGCAUAUACAAAGAGAAGCGACCUCGCGAGAGCAAGCGGACCUCAUAAAGUAUGUCGUAGUCCGGAUUGGAGUCUGCAACUCGACUCCAUGAAGUCGGAAUCGCUAGUAAUCGUAGAUCAGAAUGCUACGGUGAAUACGUUCCCGGGCCUUGUACACACCGCCCGUCACACCAUGGGAGUGGGUUGCAAAAGAAGUAGGUAGCUUAACCUUCGGGAGGGCGCUUACCACUUUGUGAUUCAUGACUGGGGUGAAGUCGUAACAAGGUAACCGUAGGGGAACCUGCGGUUGGAUCACCU